rnacentral:tRNA from 1 species
GGUGAGCAGCAGGUGUUCGCCCUGCCCGGCCGGUUCGAAGCCGGCCAGUUCCUCGACCAGGAAGUCUUCCGUGCGGCUGCGGAAGUCCGCCGCCA